CCUACGGGUGGCAGCAGUGGGGGAUAUUGCACAAUGGGGGAAACCCUGAUGCAGCGACGCCGCGUGAGUGAAGAAGUAUUUCGGUAUGUAAAGCUCUAUCAGCAGGGAAGAAAAUGACAGUACCUGACCAAGAAGCCCCGGCUAACUACGUGCCAGCAGCCGCGGUAAUACGUAGGGGGCAAGCGUUAUCCGGAUUUACUGGGUGUAAAGGGAGCGUAGACGGUUAUGUAAGUCUGGAGUGAAAGCCCAGGGCCCAACCCCGGGACUGCUUUGGAAACUGUGUAACUGGAGUACAGGAGGGGCAGGCGGAAUUCCUGGUGUAGCGGUGAAAUGCAUAGAUAUCACGCAGAACGCCGAUUGCGAAGGCAGCAUACCGGCGCCCAACUGACGCUGAGGCACGAAAGCGUGGGGAUCGAACAGGAUUAGAUACCCCAGUAGUC
rnacentral:rRNA from 1 species